AAUAUCUCUUCAUGUGACCCGUGGACUUCCCUUUGUCAUCCUAUGCCUGAGAAUAUAUGAAGGGGGCUGGGAAGGCAAAGGGACGUUCAACUGUCAUCACUGGC
rnacentral:pre_miRNA from 12 species